CGAAUGGGGAAACCCAGUGUGACUCGUCACACUAUCAUUAACUGAAUCCAUAGGUUAAUGAGGCGAACCGGGGGAACUGAAACAUCUAAGUACCCCGAGGAAAAGAAAUCAACCGAGAUUCCCCCAGUAGCGGCGAGCGAACGGGGAGGAGCCCAGAGCCUGAAUCAGCAUGUGUGUUAGUGGAAGCGUCUGGAAAGGCGCGCGAUACAGGGUGACAGCCCCGUACACAAAAGCGCAUGUGCUGUGAGCUCGAUGAGUAGGGCGGGACACGUGGUAUCCUGUCUGAAUAUGGGGGGACCAUCCUCCAAGGCUAAAUACUCCUGACUGACCGAUAGUGAACCAGUACCGUGAGGGAAAGGCGAAAAGAACCCCGGCGAGGGGAGUGAAAAAGAACCUGAAACCGUGUACGUACAAGCAGUGGGAGCCCCACCACUAAGCCAGUGGUGAACUCCACAUACGCAUCCUUUGCUGAAGGUGCGGUUAACG
rnacentral:rRNA from 1 species